AUCCAGGACCAGAAAUGGACCGUGGUAAGGGAAAAGCACCAUGAGGACUGCGGCCAUGGGAAGAUGUGUGGUGAUUGGGUUGAUUCGGAAAAUUGUGUAAUUAUUGUUGCCUAUUGUGCAACUUAUGAACUUAUGUGAUUCUAGUGUGUGAUCUAUUUAUUAGGAUGAUGAAUGAUGUAUGAACCUUGGUUAUUAUCUAUGAAAUAUCUAUUUUCCCUAGUCGAUGUUGGAUGGUUUGAGUGUGAAUGUUGGAACCUC
rnacentral:lncRNA from 1 species